GUUUCCAAUUUAGGGAUCGUCUUUUGUAUCCAAUAACCAUCUCGUUCAAUGGUAAUCAGUCAACCUUGAGUGUGCUUGGCUAUAAAAAAAAGAAAUCUCAUUUUUCUAAGUCGAAUUGGCCAUGACACUGACACUCUUUUGAAAUGAAUCAUGUGUAUCUAAUCCAAAUGAUAACACUCUUUUCACACUAAAAAGAGCGAAAUUCAAUUUUGAGGCUUUCCUUAUUACAGAUUCAUGUCCAUCUGAUGAGUUUGCCAACUAUGGCACAAUGUACUUGAAAUAUGGAAUGUCAACGAGCUUCCCGCCAAAUCGGCCUGCUCUUUGUCGUAGCAACUCCGAGCAAACUUUCCGAAUCAAACUAGUAACAUAAGAAACGUAGAGAUCUCUUCAAUUACAGGCAGGUCACUUUAUAUCAUUCACUUUAAGUGGUUCGUUUCAGGCGGAAAAUUCAAACUUUUUUUCAGCGCAUGCGCAUGUUUCUUGAGUUCCCAGGCAUGGUUUUGGGCUCAAAUUUGGCCAAGAUCAUCUCUUCAGCAAGAUUUUGUGGUCUUGACAUCUCUAGAAGUUCGUGGUAUAAUCCAACAUUUGCCGCAUAACCCAGUCAUUGGGGCUCAAGGAAUCGAAGGUCCAAAGGCUCCUCUGCCUGCUUCUUCCCAAUCACGUCCGUAUUAACGCCAUGCUCUCAGGCUGUCCAGAGAUUUGGCUGGAAAGAACAUUGCAUAUCAGUUCUUCUUUCUUCCGUCCACUAUUUUUGGGCCACUCACUCUUCAUGAGAUCUACUUGGAUUGGCAAUAGAGCGAAGGUCGAAUCAAUUGUUUUGCCUGCAUUUUGCCUUUAUUGUAGUCCCUUGCUUCAAAGAGCGGGUGACGGCCCCACAGGCCCCAAUGGCCCUGUUGGUUUUGGAUGUGUUGCCUAACUAUGGGAUUGACUGUCGUCCACUUUCCGAUUUGGUUGAGGUCGAUUCCAUUGCUUUCGAUAUGCCAAUCUAGCAGAUCAAUGUCUUUGCAUCACGGCAUGUUCUUCAAAACAUAAAGAUUUCCGUCCUCAUGUGUCUCAUUCACUCCACGAACGAGUGUGUGAGAUGAAAACCUUCCUUUUGAUAGCAGUAAAACUGUGGAUGUCGCUGAAGUAUCUCGAAAACGAAGAGAAAUGUCCGUUUUGGCGGUCCUAUGCUCUUCUGGACAAUCAAUGUUUUAGCAUCACGGUAUGUUGACUGCAACUAGUUUGAUGACGCUGAAAUGUCUUGAAAACGAGGGGUAAUGUCCGUUGUUCUGACGGU